rnacentral:rRNA from 1 species
GUCCUACGGGAGGCAGCAGUGGGGAAUAUUGGACAAUGGGGGGAACCCUGAUCCAGCCAUGCCGCGUGUGUGAAGAAGGCCUUUUGGUUGUAAAGCACUUUAAGCGAGGAGGAGGCUUACCUGGUUAAUACCUGGGAUAAGUGGACGUUACUCGCAGAAUAAGCACCGGCUAACUCUGUGCCAGCAGCCGCGGUAAUACAGAGGGUGCAAGCGUUAAUCGGAUUUACUGGGCGUAAAGCGCGCGUAGGUGGCUAAUUAAGUCAAAUGUGAAAUCCCCGAGCUUAACUUGGGAAUUGCAUUCGAUACUGGUUAGCUAGAGUAUGGGAGAGGAUGGUAGAAUUCCAGGUGUAGCGGUGAAAUGCGUAGAGAUCUGGAGGAAUACCGAUGGCGAAGGCAGCCAUCUGGCCUAAUACUGACACUGAGGUGCGAAAGCAUGGGGAGCAAACAGGAUUAGAUACCCUGGUAGUCCAUGCCGUAAACGAUGUCUACUAGCCGUUGGGGCCCUUGAGGCUUUAGUGGCGCAGCUAACGCGAUAAGUAGACCGCCUGGGGAGUACGGUCGCAAGACUAAAACUCAAAUGAAUUGACGGGGGCCCGCACAAGCGGUGGAGCAUGUGGUUUAAUUCGAUGCAACGCGAAGAACCUUACCUGGCCUUGACAUACAGAGAACUUUCCAGAGAUGGAUUGGUGCUUUCGGGAACUGCCAUACAGCUGCUGCAUGGUUGUCGUCAGCUC